AUUGAACGCUGGCGGCAGGCCUAACACAUGCAAGUCGAGCGGAUGAAGGCAGCUUGCUCCUGGAUUCAGCGGCGGACGGGUGAGUAAUGCCUAGGAAUCUGCCUGGUAGUGGGGGAUAACGUCCGGAAACGGGCGCUAAUACCGCAUACGUCCUGAGGGAGAAAGUGGGGGAUCUUCGGACCUCACGCUCUCAGAUGAGCCUAGGUCGGAUUAGCUAGGUGGUGGGGUAAAGGCCUACCAAGGCGACGAUCCGUAACUGGUCUGAGAGGAUGAUCAGUCACACUGGAACGGAGACACGGUCCAGACUCCUACGGGAGGCAGCAGUGGGGAAUAUUGGACAAUGGGCGAAAGCCUGAUCCAGCCAUGCCGCGUGUGUGAAGAAGGUCUUCGGAUUGUAAAGCACUUUAAGUUGGGAGGAAGGGCAGUAAGUUAAUACCUUGCUGUUUUGACGUUACCAACAGAAUAAGCACCGGCUAACUUCGUG
rnacentral:rRNA from 1 species